GUGAGGAAUAUUGGUCAAUGGGCGCAAGCCUGAUCCAGCCACGCCGCGUGUGUGAAGAAGGUCUUCGGAUUGUAAAGCACUUUAAGUUGGGAGGAAGGGCAGUAAGUUAAUACCUUGCUGUUUUGACGUUACCGACAGAAUAAGCACCGGCUAACUUCGUGCCAGCAGCCGCAGUAAUACGAAGGGUGCAAGCGUUAAUCGGAAUUACUGGGCGUAAAGCGCGCGUAGGUGGUUUUGUAAGUUGGAGGUGAAAUCCCCGGGCUCAACCUGGGAACUGCCUCCAAAACUGCAUGACUAGAGUACGGUAGAGGGUAGUGGAAUUUCCUGUGUAGCGGUGAAAUGCGUAGAUAUAGGAAGGAACACCAGUGGCGAAGGCGACUACCUGGACUGAUACUGACACUGAGGUGCGAAAGCGUGGGGAGCAAACAGGAUUAGAUACCCUCUGUAGUCC
rnacentral:rRNA from 1 species